rnacentral:rRNA from 1 species
GACGUAGGGCGCAAGCGUUUGUCCGGAUUUAUUGGGCGUAAAGAGCUCGUAGGCGGCUUGCCACGUCUGCCGUGAAAACCAGCAGCUUAACUGUUGGCUUGCGGUUGAUACGGGUUGGCUGGAGUUCGGUAGGGGAGACUGGAAUUCCUGGUGUAGCGGUGAAAUGCGCAGAUAUCGGAAGGAACAUCAGUGGCGAAAGCGGCUUCCUGGACCAGUACCGACGUUCAGGCACGAAAGCGUGGGGAGCAAACAGG